GACGAACGCUGGCGGCGUGCUUAACACAUGCCAGUCGAACGGAAAGGCCCUGCUUUUGUGGGGUGCUCGAGUGGCGAACGGGUGAGUAACACGUGAGUAACCUGCCCUUGACUUUGGGAUAACUUCAGGAAACUGGGGCUAAUACCGGAUAGGAGCUCCUGCUGCAUGGUGGGGGUUGGAAAGUUUCGGCGGUUGGGGAUGGACUCGCGGCUUAUCAGCUUGUUGGUGGGGUAGUGGCUUACCAAGGCUUUGACGGGUAGCCGGCCUGAGAGGGUGACCGGCCACAAUGGGACUGAGAUACGGCACAGACUCCUACGGGAGGCAGCAGUGGGGAAUAUUGCACAAUGGGCGGAAGCCUGAUGCAGCAACGCCGCGUGCGGGAUGACGGCCUUCGGGUUGUAAACCGCUUUCGCCUGUGACGAAGCGUGAGUGACGGUAAUGGGUAAAGAAGCACCGGCUAACUACGUG
rnacentral:rRNA from 1 species